AUCUAGCUGACGAAUCCCAAAUAAGACGAAACGCGCUUCAAACUGGAU
rnacentral:hammerhead_ribozyme from 1 species